CGUGUAGGCGGGAAUUUAAGUCAGAUGUGAAAGCCCAUGGCUCAACUGUGGAAUUGCAUCUGAAACUAAGUUUCUUGAGUGUUGGAGAGGAAAGUGGAAUUCCUAGUGUAGCGGUGAAAUGCGUAGAUAUUAGGAGGAACACCAGUGGCGAAGGCGACUUUCUGGACAAUAACUGACGCUGAGGCGCGAAAGUGUGGGGAGCAAACAGGAUUAGAUACCCUGGUAGUCCACACUGUAAACGAUGGAUACUAGGUGUAGGAGGUAUCGACCCCUUCUGUGCCGCAGUUAACACAAUAAGUAUCCCACCUGGGGAGUACGGCCGCAAGGUUGAA
rnacentral:rRNA from 1 species